rnacentral:rRNA from 1 species
CCUACGGGAGGCUGCAGUGGGGAAUAUUGGACAAUGGGCGAAAGCCUGAUCCAGCCAUGCCGCGUGUGUGAAGAAGGCCUUCGGGUUGUAAAGCACUUUCAGUGGGGAAGAAAGCCUUGGGGCUAAUACCCUCGAGGAAGGACAUCACCCACAGAAGAAGCACCGGCUAACUCCGUGCCAGCAGCCGCGGUAAUACGGAGGGUGCGAGCGUUAAUCGGAAUUACUGGGCGUAAAGCGCGCGUAGGCGGUCUGAUAAGCCGGUUGUGAAAGCCCCGGGUUCAACCUGGGAACGGCAUCCGGAACUGUCAGGCUAGAGUGCAGGAGAGGAAGGUAGAAUUCCCGGUGUAGCGGUGAAAUGCGUAGAGAUCGGGAGGAAUACCAGUGGCGAAGGCGGCCUUCUGGACUGACACUGACGCUGAGGUGCGAAAGCGUGGGUAGCAAACAGGAUUAGAUACCCUUGUAGUC